GCCCAGGAAUGGCAGGAAGGACAGUGGCGGCUGCGCCCGGGCUGCUGAGGCGGCCUGGAGCCCGAAAGCAGCCGGUUGCAGGUCGGGGAUUCCGGGGGAGGCCCGGGGCGGGGAGCUGCGGCGGAUGCUGAAGCCCAAGCAGAGCCCCGCCAGGCUGCGGGAGGCUCCGGGUCAGGCAGACGAUGCUGGAGCUGCCGGCUCCCUUUGCUGCUCCCGAGCCCUGCCGGUGCUAACCCCACUCGCCGGGGCUGACCAUCCCCUCUGAGCCCCGCCGCUAUCCCCAUGUCGGAGCAGAACAGCACCAGUGAUGGGGAUGCGGAUCCCCAUCACAGCAUGUCUAUGCUCUUGCUACUUGUGCUGGUCUUCUUCAUCAUGGGACUUGUGGGGUUCCUGAUCUGCCAUGUCCUGAAGAAAAAGGGCUAUCGCUGCCGGACCUUUCGCGAAGAGCUAGACCUGGAGCACAAGGAGGUGCUGACGGAGCUGCAGGCCAACGAAGAGGAGGAGCUGAAUGAGGACACAGUGGAGAAGAUAGUGAGAUGUAUCAUUCAGAAUGAAGCAAAUGUGGAGGCCCUGAAGGAGAUGCUGGGGGAUGGUGAAGGGGAUGUGCCAGUGCCCAUGCUCAGCCUUUGUCCACAUCGUAACAGCCAGGAUGGGGGCCUGCCACAUCACCACACAGUGCACCUUGGCUCCACACAGGCACCAUGUAUUCACUGCAGCAAGAGGAAGAGGCCCCCACUGCACCGCCAAGGCAGAUCCAAGGACGGCAAAGGCAAGAUGCACCCUAGAGAGACCACGGUCUUCUCCGUGGGCAGGUUUCAUGUGACCCAUAUUGAGAAGAAGCCCAUUUUCCUGGAGCAGCAGGAUGUGUUGCUUCCUGAUGGCAGCAAGGAAGCUGGUGACAGAGACCCGGCAGCCCACAGCAAUGAACAGCUUCAUCAGGAGGGUCUGCAAAACAGAACCAUCCAGACAGAGGGUUGUCCAAAUGGAACAGGCCAAGGGGAGGAUCCUUCCAAUGCACCAGUCAAGGCAAAUACUCCCACCAAUGGGCCAGUGGGGAAGAGGUUCGGUAAGACAGGCUCGCUGCAGGACCUUGACCUCCAAGACCUUGCCCCAGGGAAUGGACGUGACCAAAGCAAGGGGAAGGGGCUUCAGGCCCCAGCACCCUGUGCUCCUGGAGUCCCUGCAGACUUGCAGGAGGAGGUGAAAUGGGCUGAGCCACGCAAUGUCCUGCAGGAGGAGGCUGUGCCAGGGGCAGCUAAUGAAACGGCAGAAGUUAAAGGGAGCCAAGGUGUGCAAGAAGGAACCCGAGCUGCCAUGGCAGGAAACAAGGAUGCCAACAGGAAAGAAUCCAGAGUGAAGGACAUAGGGCAACAGGAGCAGAACUCUGCAGCGCAGGACCCAGGAGUGACUGUGUGACGCCUUCCCCCCAACCCUGCCCAUGGGCGCCUGUGGAGCCAGCAGAGGUACUGGUGUUUGCAGCACUGAGAAAGCUCUCUCUGCUUCCAUGCAGACACAACCAACCCAAGGCGGGCUCAGCGCGAGGAGCCAGCAGGGCCCUAGCGGGGACAGUAGAGGCGAGCCCUGGCCCAGAAGAGCUAAACUGCGCUUGGCAUGGCCAGAGCGACGCAUGGAUGUGCUGCUUCAUUAAACAAAUGACUGUA